rnacentral:misc_RNA from 1 species
GCGGCUCGGUGGUGGGAAGGGAAACAGAUGGAAUACUCAUAGACAGUCUCACACACGAGAGUAUACACAACUUAAUCAGCCUCAGCCACAAAAAAGAAAAAGACAAAGAUCAUGUUCAAAAAGUCUGAAGAUUUCUUUCCUCUUCUCAGUUUUACAAGACAAAAACCCAUGAAAGAUCUCCAUCAUUUAAAUAGCAAAGGACAAGAAAAUCCCCACCAUAGGUGGAGAAAAUGAUCGAACAAGAAAGGA